UACGUAGGGUGCAAGCGUUGUCCGGAAUUAUUGGGCGUAAAGAGCUCGUAGGCGGUUCGUCACGUCGGCUGUGAAAACCUGAAGCUCAACCUCAGGCCUGCAGUCGAUACGGGCGGACUUGAGUACUGCAGGGGAGACUGGAAUUCCUGGUGUAGCGGUGAAAUGCGCAGAUAUCAGGAGGAACACCGGUGGCGAAGGCGGGUCUCUGGGCAGUAACUGACGCUGAGGAGCGAAAGCGUGGGGAGCGAACAGG
rnacentral:rRNA from 1 species